rnacentral:rRNA from 1 species
CUGCUGCCUCCCGUAGGAGUCUGGUCCGUGUCUCAGUACCAGUGUGGGGGGCCUUCCUCUCAGAACCCCUACGCAUCGUCACCUCGGUGGGCCGUUACCCCGCCGACUAGCUAAUGCGCCGCAUGCCCAUCCGUGGCCGGGAUUGCUCCCUUUGGCGGCCUUGGGAUGCCCCAAGGCCGCGUUACGCGGUAUUAGACGGGGUUUCCCCCGCUUAUCCCCCUGCCACGGGCAGGUUGCAUACGUGUUACUCACCCGUGCGCCGGUCGCCGGCAACGG